GCCUGCUGGCCAAAUGGUAAGGCGUCUGAUUUCGGUAACAAGAAAUUACUCAGAAGAUUGUGUGUUCGAGUCGCAUGGAGGUG